GAUGAACGCUAGCGGCAGGCCUAAUACAUGCAAGUCGAACGGUAAGGCCCUUUCGGGGUACGACGAGUGGCGGACGGGUGCGUAACGCGUAUGCAACAUGCCUUCCAGCGGGGGAUAUACCAGGGAAACUUAGGCGCAAUACCCCAUAGAAUUACGGACCGCAUGGUCUUGUGAUUAAAACUACCGGUGCUGGGAGAUUGGCAUGCGCGACAUUAGCUAGUUGGCGGGGUAACGGCCCACCAAGGCGACGAUGUCUAGCUGGUCGUGAGAGGAUGAUCAGCCACACUGGGACUGAGACACGGCCCAGACUCCUACGGGAGGCAGCAGUAGGGAAUAUUGGACAAUGGGGGGAACCCGU
rnacentral:rRNA from 1 species